rnacentral:lncRNA from 1 species
GGCUACUUUCAUCCCGGAAAAUCCAUGGUUCACGAGGGAUUUGUGAAAAACUACAUUUCACGCGAACGAAGUCGCGUAAGUCAAUAAGAUAAUGUUGAUGAAGUCAGUGUGAAAAAUUAGUUGCAUACCAAACAUAUAACUCAUAUUACCGAAAAUGAAAAUCUGGCUGCAGAUGAACACCCUGAGGAAUAUUCUCUACAGGAAAUCUUGUCAUUAUACUACCAGAACUAUCAGCGUGGCAGUUUUUAGUUAAUUUGAAACAUCUUUAGUUGUCAGCCCCAGUAAUGGUUUUAAUAUCUUUGAAGGGAUUAAUAAAAUAAAAUGCAUUUUUGUGAGAAACAUUUUAUUUGCAGUUGUAAAAACUGUACAAAUCUUAACAAACUUAUAAAUUAUCAUCUAUUAUGGACCUUCGCAUGGCACUGCUGACGACAAAAGCCACAUAUAACGUCGCUCAUAGACUAUUCAGAAAUUUGAAUUCAAUUCCUACAUAUAAUUCAUUUUAAUCUUUUACAGACCAAAAGUAGUCUAAGAAAAUAAUGAUCUUAUGGCUUUUGACUUCAUUUUUGCUUUUUUAAGAACUUUCACUCACUGUUACAUUGCGUUCAAAGAGUAUACAACUAAAACAUAAUUGGGAGUGUUCGAUUAUAGUUUGUAAUUGAUAAUAAUUCAAUCU